rnacentral:rRNA from 1 species
GACGUAGGGGACGAGCGUUGUCCGGAUUCAUUGGGCGUAAAGAGCGCGUAGGCGGCCGCGCAAGUCGGAUGUGAAAACCCGGGGCUCAACCCCGGGCCUGCAUCCGAUACUGCGUGGCUAGAGGUAGGUAGGGGAGAUCGGAAUUCCUGGUGUAGCGGUGAAAUGCGCAGAUAUCAGGAGGAACACCGGUGGCGAAGGCGGAUCUCUGGGCCUUACCUGACGCUCAGGCGCGAAAGCUAGGGGAGCGAACAGG